GCCUGGUUGGCCAAGUGGUAAGGCGUCGCACUUGUAUGCAAGAAUCAAUUUCUUAAUCGCAAUGCGAAGAUCGCUCGUUCGAUUCGGGUACUAGGCA